GCGGGGUAACGGCCCACCAAGACAACGAUGGAUAGGGGUUCUGAGAGGAAGGUCCCCCACAUUGGAACUGAGACACGGUCCAAACUCCUACGGGAGGCAGCAGUGAGGAAUAUUGGUCAAUGGACGAGAGUCUGAACCAGCCAAGUAGCGUGAAGGAUGACUGCCCUAUGGGUUGUAAACUUCUUUUAUAUGGGAAUAAAACGUUCCACGUGUGGGAUUUUGUAUGUACCAUAUGAAUAAGGAUCGGCUAACUCCGUGCCAGCAGCCGCGGUAAUACGGAGGAUCCGAGCGUUAUCCGGAUUUAUUGGGUUUAAAGGGAGCGUAGGUGGAUUGUUAAGUCAGUUGUGAAAGUUUGCGGCUCAACCGUAAAAUUGCAGUUGAAACUGGCAGUCUUGAGUACAGUAGAGGUGGGCGGAAUUCGUGGUGUAGCGGUGAAAUGCUUAGAUAUCACGAAGAACUCCGAUUGCGAAGGCAGCUCACUGGACUGCAACUGACACUGAGGCUCGAAAGUGUGGGUAUCAAACAGGAUUAGAUACCCUGGUAGUCCACACAGUAAACGAUGGAUACUCGCUGUUUGCGAUAUACUGCAAGCGGC
rnacentral:rRNA from 1 species